rnacentral:lncRNA from 1 species
GGUGUGGCAAGGUGAGGAAUGGAAAACGUCAUGUCUUGGAUUUGGCCACCUGGGGGUGACCUCUGAAUUCAAAUAGCUGUGGCGGGGAGCCUUGGGGCCAGAAGCUACACUGUGGCUGGCUGCAGGCCAGCGUGAAGGAAGGGCCCAGCGUGGUGUAGGGUGAGGACACGCUUUUCCACAAUGCCGGCGGCAAGAAGGCAAGGGUGAGGUGGUCCUGCUAAGGCCUCCUCCUUGGUGUGAGCGCCCCCCCAAGCACACUCCGUCCUGACUCCCAGCAACAGCUGGCCAGAGAGUAACACGACUCCAGCCGGACAUGCUAUUCCGGCUUGCAAGGUCAUGAUUCUGCAACCCAGCUAGGACUCCCGGGGGCAGGCUCAGCCGGGUCUCUUGCCCCUACCCAGAGAAGUCCGAACCCUGUGAGGACAGAAGGAGGAGGAACCCAUAAGCGAUGGGGAGUCACCCCCCUGCACCCCGGCUUCCCGGCGCCAGCAGCAUCUAAGGACCCCAGACCUGGAGAGCCUGUCCCUGGACAGGUCAGUUCUGAGCAGGGGGAUGGAAAAGACGUUCUCUCGCUCUCUGGGGACGCAGGCCCAAGGGUGGGCUCGCUGUGGCUGUCAUGGUCCAGGUGGGGGGCUGCAGGUAAGUUAUAUUGUGAGCGGAGGUUGUGAAAUAGACGUGCAGACAAAAACAGGCCACUGAGGGUGUGCAUUGGACAAGGACAGUGAGCUAGUGGAAUGCUGGCGGCAGACACCACCUUUGACCCACUCAGGGCUUUUUAAACUGAGGGCUGAGAUCCACCUGC